rnacentral:rRNA from 1 species
UACCUAUCGAGGAAGCCCCGGCUAACUACGUGCCAGCAGCCGCGGUAAUACGUAGGGGGCAAGCGUUGUCCGGAAUUAUUGGGCGUAAAGCGCGCGUAGGCGGUUUCUUAAGUCUGAUGUGAAAUCUUGCGGCUCAACCGCAAGCGGUCAUUGGAAACUGGGGAACUUGAGUGCAGAAGAGGAGAGCGGAAUUCCACGUGUAGCGGUGAAAUGCGUAGAUAUGUGGAGGAACACCAGUGGCGAAGGCGGCUCUCUGGUCUGUAACUGACGCUGAGGUGCGAAAGCGUGGGGAGCGAACAGGAUUAGAUACCCUGGUAGUCCACGCCGUAAACGAUGAGUGCUAGGUGUUAGGGGGUUUCCGCCCCUUAGUGCUGCAGUUAACGCAAUAAGCACUCCGCCUGGGGAGUACGGCCGCAAGGCUGAAACUCAAAAGAAUUGACGGGGGCCCGCACAAGCGGUGGAGCAUGUGGUUUAAUUCGAAGCAACGCGAAGAACCUUACCAGGUCUUGACAUCUUCGGAUGUCCCUAGAGAUAGGGAGUUCCCUUCGGGGACCGAAUGACAGGUGGUGCAUGGUUGUCGUCAGCUCGUGUCGUGAGAUGUUGGGUUAAGUCCCGCAACGAGCGCAACCCUUGAUCUUAGUUGCCAGCAUUAAGUUGGGCACUCUAAGGUGACUGCCGGUGACAAACCGGAGGAAGGUGGGGAUGACGUCAAAUCAUCAUGCCCCUUAUGACCUGGGCUACACACGUGCUACAAUGGAUGGAACAAAGGGCAGCGAAGCGGCAACGCAUUAGCAAAUCCCAUAAAUCCAUUCUCAGUUCGGAUUGCAGGCUGCAACUCGCCUGUAUGAAGCCGGAAUCGCUAGUAAUCGUGGAUCAGCAUGCCACGGUGAAUACGUUCCCGGGCCUUGUACACACCGCCCGUCACACCACGAGAGUUGGCAACACCCGAAGUCGGUGGGGUAACCUUGGAGCCAGCCGCCGAACUGCGUCCCCAGGCCC